rnacentral:rRNA from 1 species
AUGAACGCUGGCAGCGUGCCUAAUACAUGCAAGUCGAGCGAACAGAUGAGGAGCUUGCUCCUCUGACGUUAGCGGCGGACGGGUGAGUAACACGUGGAUAACCUACCUAUAAGACUGGGAUAACUUCGGGAAACCGGAGCUAAUACCGGAUAAUAUAUUGAACCGCAUGGUUCAAUAGUGAAAGACGGUUUUGCUGUCACUUAUAGAUGGAUCCGCGCCGCAUUAGCUAGUUGGUAAGGUAACGGCUUACCAAGGCAACGAUGCGUAGCCGACCUGAGAGGGUGAUCGGCCACACUGGAACUGAGACACGGUCCAGACUCCUACGGGAGGCAGCAGUAGGGAACCUUCCGCAAUGGGCGAAAGCCUGACGGAGCAACGCCGCGUGAGUGAUGAAGGUCUUCGGAUCGUAAAACUCUGUUAUUAGGGAAGAACAAAUGUGUAAGUAACUAUGCACGUCUUGACGGUACCUAAUCAGAAAGCCACGGCUAACUACGUG